UGGAAAGAGACUAACUUUAUUGUCACCAAAUGAACAUGAAUAACCGGAUAUGUCCAAUUUGGGAACAGAAAUUAAAUUCCGUCUAAAAGACGGUACUACAAAAGUCUCAUUCAAAUCUAAAUAAAAACCAAUCUUAAACAACAGCCUAAAUUUUCCAAUAGCCUCAACUUGAACCCUUUUGCCUCACCCGCAUAGAUGUAUCUUUCACCAUCAUUUUGUUUUCAGCAGUUCAGGCAACCCUGCAUAGAUAUACUUAUGUGAGUAGUAGCAGCAGAAUCUA
rnacentral:lncRNA from 1 species